rnacentral:rRNA from 1 species
AUUGAACGCUGGCGGCAGGCCUAACACAUGCAAGUCGAGCGAGCGGCGGACGGGUGUGUAAUGUCUGGGAAACUGCCUGAUGGAGGGGGAUAACUACUGGAAACGGUAGCUAAUACCGCAUACCAUCAGAUGUGCCUAGAUGGGAUUAGCUAGUAGGUGGGUUAAUGGCUCACCUAGGCGACGAUCCCUAGCUGGUCUGAGAGGAUGACCAGCCACACUGGAACUGAGACACGGUCCAGAGUCCUACGGGAGGCAGCAUUGGGGAAUAGUGGCCAAGGGGCGAAAGCCUGAUGCAGCCAUGCCGCGGGUGUGAAGAAGGCCUUCGGAUUGUAAAGCACUUUCAGCGGGGAGGCGUUACUCGCAGAAGAAGCACCGGCUAACUCCGUGCCAGCAGCCGCGGUAAUUC